rnacentral:rRNA from 1 species
UGUGGUGACGAUGGCAAGAAGGACACACCUGUACCCAUGCCAUGCCGAACAGCAGUUAAGCUUCUUAGCGCCGAUGGUAGUUGGACCUUUGGUCCUGUGAGAGUAGGACGUUGCCAUGC